GGGGGUGAAAGGGCUCGACUUAGGUAAGCCGGGUAAAAGUUGCAUGCCGCGGACGCAUGGUUGGCCGCGUUAUCAAUCCGUGCACAAAUAAACGCAAACACACAAGUGUUAAACAACCGGGUAUUUUUGGCACCAGUAAUGGUGACUCCGAUCAUGCCUGGUUUUGCGGCAAGACUUAACUAACUAAAUUAGUUAAGCCUCAAACCUUCCUGCCUAAGGGGGGGAUUUGAGACCUUAAUUUAGGCUGGCCUGCGUUUGCGCCUUUCAAGCGCGGGCGAGAGCAAUUAAGGCUGCUGCCUUUUAAAUCCUGUCUGCCGGAGGGAAAAGGCUUAAGCGUAAUAAACAGACUAAGCAUGUAGUAUCUUUUAUCUGAUUAUCUAGGGACGGCGGUUCAAUUCCGCCCACCUCCACCA
rnacentral:tmRNA from 1 species